rnacentral:lncRNA from 1 species
CAAUAUAGUAAAAUGGUCUACUUUUGACGGACGGAGGGAGUAUCAAUUAUGACCCUUCUUCAUAUUUGCCAUAAACUCCGCCAUCAUAUUCUUGAGAUCAUUAAUGGUGCCAUCUUGCUCCAGCAGACGUGCCUCGAAGUCGUUCCCUCUAGUAGUCUGAGCAUUCACUUCAGCUCUUAGCGCCUCGACCUCCUCAAGAGAAGCAGCAGGGGCAGUCUGAGACGUGCUAGUGGACUGAGUACUAGAUCCAGUAGACACCAUCUGUGUCAUCAUUCCCAUCCCGAGCACACGGCCUUUCGUGUCCCUCUUCACCACCUCCUUAAAGAUGGCGUGUACCUCUUCUGGUGUCGGAUCCCUACCUUGAGUGGCUUGAAUAUCUUGAAUGCCAUCUCUAAACUCAUUUCUAAACGUCCUGAAAUAGAAUUAUAACUAGAAUUAAUUUUAUAUUGUAGUUGAUGGUUGAAUGUUUGUCAUUAAUUUUUUUAGUUCUUAAGUUUUAGUCACAAUAGUUAUUAAAAACCAGGGCAGUAGCCAUUGCUACCACCUCCGCCUCUCCCCCACCGGCGGCCCAAACUCCAAAAUAGAAAAUCGCCUCUUCCCCACCGGCGACACAAGCAUACUAAUAUUAAAAUUAAAUCAUGCUCAACGCACAUAAUCAUGCUUAUUCAAAUUCAAUCAAACAUGUUAUUCGCCUCUCCCCCACCGGCGACAUAAUUAACAAAAAUAAAAUCAAUUGCAAUAACUUAAUGUGACUAGGUACGACUAAUCUAAUCAAUCUAAGUAACCUAAUAUUUAAAAGGCCAUAGCUUGUGUGAAUCACUUAAUGUCAUGACUAGAUACAACUAAUCUAAUCAAUCUAAGUAACCUAGUAUUUAAAAGGCCAUAACUUAGCUAGAUUAAGUCAUGUAACCUAACACAUAAAUUAAGUAAAUUACGCAUGUAUUCAUACAAUAAUCCUAAAACCUAACACAUAAAUUAAGUAAGUUUAUAAAAGACUAACCUUUUAGAAAAUCUUGACAAAAGCUCACGAGAUGUCUGUAUUGAAGCUCACCCAACAAUCUUGCAAAAGCUACAAUUUUAUACAAAUACAUUCAAGUUAGCUCAAGUUCACUAUCAAAAGCAAAGAAGACUAAUAAUGGGUACGAAUCAAACAAGUGAAUGAGUACAAUAUGUUAUAAUAUUUGUUGCAAUGACUUCAUUCCCUACCUUAAAUAUUCUGAAUUUCUCAAUCUAUAUCUUCACUAAAAAGUCAAACGUAGUGAGCUGCUCCAAAUCUCUGAAGUGAGCACUCAGCUGUUUCGAGACCUGCCCAAACAUAAUUCAACAUUCAUGCAUGAGUCCACUAAUUUGAAAACAAAUAAUCUACAGCUAAGAGAUGAAAGUUACUAGUCGUCAAAAAUACUAUUAUAUCUAUCAUAAUAUUAGUAACUUGAAAUCACUCUUAAUCAGCUCAAUAAUACUUCUUACUAUGAAUAUAUCAAAGAGUUAAGAGUAUUUGAUAAUGCAUUAAUACUAUAAUUUAUCAAAGAAAAUUUUAUUUCAGCACAUGAAGGGCAACCAAAUAUGGAAUAUGCUUCUUUUAUUUGCUUAUUAAAGUAUCAGGAAUCAAAUAAAAGAACUGUAGGCGUAGCAUCUGAUUAACAAAAUGCAAUUCUAAUUAAAGAUGGCACCAUUUUCAAAUCUACCAAGCACAAGAAGUGAUCCUAGACUCUCCCAAAACUCCUCUAACUCAGAGGGUCAUAAUACAUUAUUCUCUUCCCCCCCCCCCCUCUCUUUUUUCAAUUUUCAAGAAUUAGAAAAACAGAGACCAUAUGAGUGUUUCAUGCACCACUCGCCAUCUCUAUUCUGAUUGUUUCAGAGCAUCAACAAAUGCAUCCUUUAGAAAACCAUUUGAAGCUGCUACGCGUUGAGCGGUGAUAUCAAAUUCGUUCCCCGAGCUGUUACACGAAAAUAUAUCAUGAUCUGCUGAUGAAUUGCAGCAUAAAUCAUUAUCACCACUAAUACAAAAACAAACAGCUUGACUUUUGCUUGUCUGCGCGUUUUGUAAUGAACUACGUCAAGCAAGGUACCUCAACAGUCAACAACUUUAGAGACAGCAUGUUGCUUUCUAGCCCAUUGAAAGAUUAUACAAGAUGAAAUUGGAGAAAGUGGGACGACAGUCAACAACUAGUUUUCAUCUAGUUCACAAAUGUGUCAACUAGCCAACAAACACUUAAGGCUCACUGUGAACUCAUGUGAAAUCACAAGUAAACUCAUGAGUCAUGGCCAAGGGGGGGGCAGUGGGGUCACUGGACCCCCCUGGAAUUUGGAAAUUUUGCAGGGGUAUUUUAGUAAUUUCAUAUAUAGUAAUAAAAAAAUAUACAAAAAAUAUUAUAGGGUUGAAUUUCGUAUCUCUCAACGACUCAGCCUAACUUCAGAAUUUUUUCCACAUUCCAAUUGGGCGCCGCUGCUCUUUCCGCUGUGAAUCGCCGGCAUUCUCAAGCUGUGCCCCGCCGCUUUCCGGCUUCUCUACCAGCUACCGUUGUCGACGCCGUCGCCGACUAUCUACCUUCAGCUGUGCGCCGCUGACUGAUCUCCUGCUGCAAGCUGCAGCCUGCAACGGUCUACGGCAGUGCGAGGUAAAUUUUAUAGAAGCUAUCAGCUAUGUUUUCCAUUCCAAUUGGAGACUUUAAUAUUUGGAAAUAGGAAUAGCUAUGUUUUCAAAGAAGUUGGGUGUUUUAAUUUAAUUUUCUAUGUUUAUUCCUUGAUUGUAAUGGGAGUUUGCUGUCCUUUGAAUUGAACGAACACGUCGAUUUUGAAGAUAGAGUUUUUAUUGUUUAAAAAAAUGGAUAUUGAUUGAGAUUGUGGUAGAUGCACCGAAUGGGUACUUGAUACUUUAUGUUGAUAUCUUUUAAUUUGGCAAGUCAGUGGGUGGAUAGCUUUAAUUUAUGUGUAGUGGAUUAUGGAUAGAUUUUAAUAUUUUGACAAGUGAUAUUUCUUAUGUCAGUGUGCUUUCAUUUUAAUUUUGCUCAAGACUAUCGAAUUUUUACCUUUUUUUGUAUUGUAUUUCUUAUGCACAGGAGGUAGCUAAAAAUGAAGCGAUAUUAUAAUCACUUACUUGCUACAAGUGUGGAUGGUUCAUCUUCAACAAUUAAUAGUCCUACUGCACGUGUUGAACCUGAAGCAACACCAGGAGAAGUGAAUAUGGAAGUUGCUCUUCACCUUGAACCAUCAUCAAAAGUGGUUGAUUUAUUAAAUCUUCCAAGUGAUCCGGGACUACGACCUAGUAUAAUGAGCUAUCCUCCAAACUUAAUUGAACAGGUGCGUAGAGCUUACUUAUUAAAAGGCCCAUGUCAACCGCGUAAUCAUGAUUUUUCCACAGAAGAUAGAGGCAAAUAGAAAGCGGAAAUUUGUUUCAGCUUGGUUUGAUGAAUUCAAGAUGUGGUUGGAAUAUAGUAUUGCAAAAGAUGCUGCUUUUUGCUUAUAUUGUUAUCUGUUUUCGUCGGGAAGUAGUGAAAAAGGACAUGAUGCUUUUAUUUCUGGAGGGUUUAAUACUUGGCGCAAGAAAGAUAGAUUGAGAGAUCAUGUUGGAGAGGUUAAUAGUGAUCAUAAUAAAUGUAGAUUGGCAUGUCAAGAUUUGAUGAAUCAAGCCCAACACAUUGAGGUGACACUUUCUAGAGUAUCAAAACAGUCACAAAUUGAUUAUCGUUCUAGAUUAGAUACAUCAAUAAAAAUGUCUCCGCUAUCUUCUUAUGCAAGGAAUGGCUUUUCGAGGACAUGAUGAGUCAGAAGAAUCCUUGAACCAAGGAAAUUUUAUGGAGCUUUUGAAACUUUUGGCUUCUUGUAGCAAAGAGAUAUCUAAUGUAGUAUUGAAGAAUGCUCCUGAAAACUUGAAACUUACAUCACCUGACAUUCAGAAAGAUAUCAUAAAUGCAAUUGCAGUUGAGACUACUAGAGCUAUCAUUGAUGAUAUUGGUAAUGAUUUUUUUGCCAUAUUAGUUGAUGAAUGUCGGGAGUGUGUCUGUGAAAGAGCAAAUGGGUAUUGUUCUAACAAUUGUUGCUGUUGCAAAAAAACAUAUCAUUGUUGGGUCUUUCUUUAAUACUAUCUCGCGCUUAUGCAAUGUGGUUGGAGGUUCAUGUAAGCGCAGGGAUAUGCUUCGAGAGAGCCAAAGAGAGAAGAUUAUUGAAGGCAUUGCAAGUGAUGAAAUUAAGACAGGAAGGGGGUUGAAUCAAGAAAUGGGGAUGAAACGACCCGGGGAUACUCGUUGGAGUUCUCAUUACGGUACUCUCAUCAACUUGAUUCACUUAUUUACUUCUAUUGUUGAUGUUCUUGAGUAUGUUGGGGCAAAUGGUAGUGAUGAUUCACAAAAAUCUGAAGCUAUGGAUUUGUUAGAUGUUAUUAGUCGAUUUGAGUUUGUCUUUGUGUUACAUCUGAUGAAGAAAAUUUUGGGAAUUACACAUGAUCUCUCUCAAGUGCUACAAAGGAAAGAACAAGAUAUUGUGAAUGCAAUGAAACUUGUUAAUGUAGCAAAAACUCGCUUGCAAGCAAUGAGAGAGAAAGAAUGGGAGAUGAUGUUAGCUGACAUUUCUAAGUUUUGUAGUAGAAAUGAGAUAGAAAUGCUAGAUAUGGAUGGUGAAUAUGCACCUCGAGGAAGAGGAAGGCGUAGAGUUGAGAAAAUGACAAAUCUCCACCAUUAUCGAGUUGAGCUAUUUUACACUGUGAUUGAUAUGCAAGCUUUAGAGUUGAAUCAACGUUUUGAUGAAGUCAACACAGAAUUGAUUUUAUGCAUGUCAUGCUUGGAUCCUAGAGACUCAUUUUCUGGAUUUGAUAUUGAAAAGCUACUUCGUCUUGCAAAGUUUUAUCCAUCUGAAUUUUCUGAAGUUGCUUUGUAUGAACUUGAAAGUCAGCUUGAGAACUUUAUUGUUGAUGUGCGCAUGGAUGAAAAGUUCUUAGGAUUAUCAGGGAUUGGAGAUCUAGCCGAGAAGAUGGUUUCUACAAGGAAACAUGAUAUUUUUCCAUUGGUGUAUUUGUUAGUUAAGUUAUCAUUGACUUUACCAGUUGCCACUGCUACCGUUGAAAGAGCCUUUUCAGCAAUGAAGAUCAUCAAGAGUGUUCUUCGCAAUCGUAUGGGAGACAAUCUUUUGAACGAUUGCUUAGUACCUUAUAUCGAAAAGGAUGUGUUUGUAAAUGUUACUAAUGAAGCUAUUAUGCAAAGGUUUCAGAGCAUGAAAAAUAGGAGAGAAAUGUUGUUAGUUGAGAAAUAAAUUAUUUUUUACUUGUUAUGUAAUUUAAAUGACAUUAUAAUUAUGUUAAUGAUUAUUAUUUGUUUUUUAUUUAUUUUUUAUUAUUUAUUUAAUUAUUAAUUUUAUUUAAAAAAAAUUUGGACCCCCCUGAUUUCAAAGUCUAGCUCCGCCCCUGCUCAUGACUCAUAUGAUUAAGCAAUUAACUUAUAGAAGGAACAAGGAGCAGCCCAAUAAACAAGAAAAAUAUAUAGGGAAUGACUGCACUUCAAAAUGGCAGGGAGAAAGAGCGAGAGGGAGAGAGAACCGUGGUGAGCGAGAGGGAGAGAGAACCGAUGGUGAACGUCGAGGGAGGGAGAGGCAGCAAAUCGACUCCGGCAGGGGGCGAGCAGCGGCGGCGGAAUCCGGCAGCAAUUGAAUUUGGGUAAACUGACCUUAAUUUGGGGGAAUGGUGUAGGUCAAUUGAAUUUGGGGGAGAAGAUACUAUUCACUAUUCAGCAUUAAUAUUCUCG